rnacentral:lncRNA from 1 species
UAAUGUAAAUUUAUAGUGAAUUUUGUAAAAUGUCUGUCUGUAAUACAGGAAGAAUAUGGUGGCCAACAAAUUAAAGAAGAGGACAAAAAUGGCUCAAGAAAUCUAAGCUGAUCGACACACAAAAGAGAAAGGGAACAUUCCUUAAGUUCAGUGUUUGAGCAAACUACUACAACAAAGAUGUGAUGAAGACAAUUAUUUGAGAAUUGAAGAGCAGCAAUAUAAAUGUAAUGAAGAUGUAGAGACCUGCAGUGAUUUCCAGUCCUUUCAGAAGCAUGAAAUGAGAAAGACUGGAGAGAAACUCUGUCAAUAUGGGCAAUGUGGGGAGGACAGCUCUGAUCUUAGGGAAUAAACUCACCCUGAGAAGAAAAUUUUUUCAGCAUUCAUGAAUUUAAUGUCACUUGGAUUCAUCAUGGAUCUCAGUUUCCU